GAUGAAGAACGCAGCGAAAUGCGAUAAGUAAUGUGAAUUGCAGAAUUCAGUGAAUCAUCGAAUCUUUGAACGCACCUUGCGCUCCUUGGUAUUCCGAGGAGCAUGCCUGUUUGAGUGUCAUGAAAUUCUCAACCUUUUCAGCUUUCUUUGUUGAUCAGGCUUGGAUGUGGGAGUAUGCGGGCUUCUCAGAAGUCGGCUCUCCUGAAAUGCAUUAGCGGGACCUUUGUUGCCUGGCUUUGGUGUGAUAAUUAUCUACGCCUUUGUAGUCAAGCAGCUUAAAAUGAGGUUUCAGCUUCUAACCGUCUCCCCUGAGACAACUUUUUGACAAUUUGACCUCAAAUCAGGUAGGACUACCCGCUGAACUUAAGCAUAUCAAUAAGCGGAGGA
rnacentral:misc_RNA from 1 species